rnacentral:sRNA from 1 species
CUGGAGACGGUUGGGAGAACCGUUGUGGCGAGCGCUACACGAGGCAAACGACUUCUCCCUUCUCUGAACUGGACCCCGCGAGCACCAGAGUCGGCGUAACUAUCGCCUGACAGGCAUUUAAAUCAAACGGUAUUGAGAUGGAUUGGGUUAUGAAACAUAAUGGUCCAAAUGACGCUAGUGAUGGGACAGUACGACUUCGUGGACUACCAUUUGGUUGCAGCAAAGAGGAAAUAGUUCAGUUCUUUCAAGGGUUGGAAAUCGUGCCAAAUGGGAUAACAUUGACGAUGGACUACCAGGGGAGAAGCACAGGGGAGGCCUUCGUGCAGUUUGCUUCAAAGGAGAUAGCAGAAAAUGCUCUGGGGAAACACAAGGAAAGAAUAGGGCACAGGUAUAUUGAGAUCUUCAGAAGUAGCAGGAGUGAAAUCAAAGGAUUUUAUGAUCCACCAAGAAGAUUGCUGGGACAGCGACCGGGACCAUAUGAUAGACCAAUAGGAGGAAGAGGGGGUUAUUAUGGAGCUGGGCGUGGAAGUAUGUAUGACAGAAUGCGACGAGGAGGUGAUGGAUAUGAUGGUGGUUAUGGAGGUUUUGAUGACUAUGGUGGCUAUAAUAAUUACGGCUAUGGGAAUGAUGGCUUU